AUAUUCAAUUGGUGAUCAGGCAAUCAAAUAAUAAAAUUAAGCAUGCAAGAUUAAUAAAAAAUUGCAAGAAUUCAACUAAGCCACGUGUUUCAAAUUAAAAAUAAAUAAUAAAAGAUUUAAUCUUCAUCCAAUACAUGAGAAGACUUAGCCUAGCAUAAUGUUGGAAUUAAAUAAAGAAAGUUUAGACGACAUCACCGAGAAAUUGACGAAACUCGAUUAAUUCCACAAAUUUUCUCAGCUUUGCACGUGUAUGUUUGUAUUUCUACUGCAACCACCAGCUUCUAUAUAUGCAUUUAUAUUUCUUCAAUUCAACUCUCCCGUUGGCGUGUAUAUCAUAUAUAUAAUUCAGCUACCACGUGGAAUAAAUAUUUUAUUUCCACCACAACAGGCUUUCAAUGUGUAUAUAAAUCUAUGUUUUUCUCCAACAGCAAUCGGUUUUUUCUUCUCCCCAAAAAGCAGCUGCCCAAUUGUUUUCGUUUUUCAAUUUGUGGACUGCUCUUUGUGUUCUUUGUAGAUGUAUAAUCUUCCCAAGCAGUCGCCUUUUCUAUGGGUUUUUCUCUGAUUUUUUUUUUUUUUUGGUUUUCCGUGUAUAUGUUGUGUAUAUAUUCUUUCUUCAAAAGCAAAAGCAGCCUUUCAAUUGUUUUAUUUUCAGCCGCCAUUCUUCUCUUUUUUUCCUUCCAUUUUUGUUGAAUG
rnacentral:lncRNA from 1 species